UCUCACUGAAAGCAAAGAGGAACGGACACCUCAUCAUAACAAGAUCGCCCAGUGACCAGACAUUGCCAGGAGACCCUACCGUAACAAGAAGGUGAAGAUGAUUGGUGCUAUGCCACCGUGUCCCAUGCUGGUGCUCCUCCAUCCUACUCAGUCAAGUUUGAGGAAGGCCAUGACUAUGCCACAAUGGUCAUAUACUGACCAGCAUGUGCCGACCUGAAAGGACAUGAAAGGACUUCCACAUAGAUAGAUUGUUUGAUUUUAACACCUCCAUUUCAAUUUUCUUUCCAAGAAAUCAAUUGCAUGCGUCUAUUUGCAAUGUAGUUUUGAUCAUCCAAUUUGUCACUUUAAGAGAACAAUAAAGUUUUUGUAUUCCACCA